UACGGGGGGAGCAAGCGUUGUUCGGAUUUACUGGGCGUAAAGGGCGCGUAGGCGGCCACCGCAAGUCGACUGUGAAAUCUCCGGGCUUAACCCGGAAAGGUCAGCCGAUACUGCGGGGCUAGAGUGCAGAAGGGGCAACUGGAAUUCUCGGUGUAGCGGUGAAAUGCGUAGAUAUCUGGAGGAACACCGGUGGCGAAGGCGGCAUCCUGGACCAACACUGACGCUGAGUGAGCGAAAGCCAGGGGAAGCAAACGGG
rnacentral:rRNA from 1 species